AUAAAGGGGAGGGAGAGGAAGAAUAAACAAUAAUGAUCUUUUUUUGUUCCCCCUCUGUAACCUGAUGUAUUUAAUAAGACAAAAGUGUGAAUGAUGGUGGUUCCCAGGGCAGGAGCAAGAGCAUUUCCUCCCAGCAUGGAGAGCAGGAGGGUGGCAGAGCUGGAAUUCAGAUUCCCAUGGCCUGACUCCAAAGCCCAAGCCCUAAGUAAAUCAUGAGGAAGAAGACAGAGCUGUGAGUUAAGCUGUUCAAGGUCCCGCAAGGGAGAGGACCUAGCCCAGACCUAAGUAUGAGGGGAAUCUUCCUGGAAGAAGCAACCUGUACCUGAGACCUCAAGGGUUGCAGACAAGGGCCUGUGGACUGAUUCUGGAAAAUGAAAGCUCAGUAGGACUAGCAUGUGGAAUACUGCAGGGGAUUAGGGGGAAGGCAGAAAUGAGGCCACAGAAUAAGCAAAGAACAAAUCAUAUAGGUCCUUGAAAACUCAGUUAGGACAUUCCAUCUUUAUCCUCAAAAAUGUUGGGAAUCACUAAAGUGUUUUAAGCAGGAAAACAUCAGGGUCAGUUUUCCACUUACAAAAUAUAAUUCUGGCAACUUGGAGAAUAAUUUGGAUGAAUCAAGACUGAAGGCCAAGAGGCCAAUUAGGAGGCUAUAGUCAUCAAUCAGUAGAAAGAUGAUGGUGGCCCAAAGCAGGAUAGAGGCAACAAGGAGAGAGAUAGGAUGUCUGGUCCCAGAGGUAUUUUGGAAGUAAAGUUGGCAGAUGUAGAGGAGGUGAGACAAAGGCAGAAAUAGGAUGCCAAGAUGUUUCUCUAAUAGUGUGCCAAUCAAAGUGCCAGUCGUUGAGAAAGGGGACAUGGGAGGAGGCUGCCAUUCUGUGGAGCAAAAUCAGUUCACUUUAGGACAAGCUGGAUUUGAAUCACCAUUGUGACAUUUAGUUGGCAAUGCCCAGUAAGAAGGCAGAUAUAAGAGUCUGAAGCUCAGGAGAAGGAGCUGGGCUAGCAGUCCAUCUAUCUAAUGGUUGAGCCUUGGAAAUGGAUGAAAUUCCCUUGAGAAAGGUGUGUAUGAGAAGAAAAGAAGGCUUAUGAUCAAAUCUGAAAAACACCAGCAUGUAAAGUCGGGGGAAAAAAUAAGUCAAAACAAACAAACAAACAACAACAACAACAAAGAAACAGGAAAUGAGCAGCUGCCAGGAAGGUAGAAAAAAAAAUGCCUACAGAGGACAAGCGUGGUGUCAUGGAAGCUGCAAAGAAAAUUUUUCUGGAAGGCAGAAGUGGUCAGCAAGCAAAGAAAUGUUAAAAGGAUUUAGAAACAAGGAAGUUGUCAGUCACCUUUGGGAAGCCAGCUUCAGUUGCAAAGUGAGGGUAGAAGCCAGACUGGAGGGUAGCUGUCCAGCAGGAAAGUAGGUGGGAAGAAGUGGAGAUAGCACAUGCAAGCACCUGGAAGCAUGGCUGGAAAGGCAAGGAGAAAGAGGGAGCAAUAGCUGGUGGCGAAACUGGACUAAAUAUUGGUUCCUUCCCACUUCACAGUUAUCAUGAUUUGAUAGAUGAACUAGACCAAUUUCUCUUUGCAUGAACUAAAAUUGAUAAGUGGCAUUACUAUCAAUCAGGAACCACUGAGCUUCUAAAUCACCUGAUUUCUCUAGGAAGAUACCAAAAAUAAAGAUCAUGUACAACCUCACAACAUUUGAUUUAGAUUCAAGAAAGCUGCAAUUAACCCUUUGAUUCUAUGUAAUCAUAAAAUUUUAUUAUUAUUUUGAUUAUAAUAACAUCAGCUAACAUUUGUGGAUCACUCACUAUAUGCCAUGAACUGUUCUAAAGGCUAUGCAUAUAACUAGUUUGAUCCUCACAACACCAUGAGAUAAAUCAUUAUCGCCAUUUUACAGAUGCAGAAAUUGAGAGAGAGUUGAAGUAACUGGUUCACAAUCACAAUCGCAUGGCAAGCAAGUAUUGGAGUCAGGAUUCCUUAAGGGUGCUUCUCCCUGACUUAUCCCAGGGACAGGGGAGAAAAAAAAUUGAAAGGGUCCGGGGCAGAAAAGAUGAAAUAAUUCUGAGGUUGCCAGAACACUUCCAUUCUAGAAAAGUCCUGGCAUGAAAGGAGAACAAACUGGUCUGUAGGUACUCUCAGCUACUUUUCCCUAGUGGGUCUGGGGCAGACAAUGGUAUUUCCUGAGCCAAAUGCUCUAGGCCUUGCUGGCACCAACCACUUAAAUAUGUUCUUUGAAAUUCUAGUUGUCUGAAGGCUGGAGCACAGAGGUGAGCUGAAUAUCCUAAAAGGACUACUGAAGAGUGGAAAGCACAAAGUCCUUCUUGUAAAUGGUCAUCCCAGCUUGAUUCCAUAUCUGCACAGCUUUCUACCAUUUGUUGAGGGCCUAUAUACCAUUAAGUCAUUUUGUCUUCAUGACAAGCCUAAGGGAGGCAAGCCUAGGGAGGAGCUGUGAACCCUGGAUCUUUACACACCUUCUCCUCUCUUUUUGAAACAUUCUUUCUCCUCUCCAUUUUUCUUAUGUGAUUGGUUGGCAUCUGGCUUAUCAUUCCCUAUUUCUUGUUUUACUGGGUUAAAGGGAAGGAGAGUCGUAAGAAUCUUAAAAAUAUAUUUUUAUUUGGUUUUGAACUAAAUGAGAUAAUGAUCUAUGUCUCUUCUUAGGAGGAAGAAACACCAAUAUUAACCCUUCACCAGCUGCCUGGACGCAUCAGAAAUACUCAAGGAUAAGCGACACCCAGAUGAGAUGAUGGGCCUGGAGCUGCUGUUUGUAAAGAGGAAGAACUGGAAGUGCUGGAAGCUACCAGGUACUGCUAUGCCUGUCACUCCAUCUGAUCACAUGACCUUCAGAGUGAUAACGGCUGCUGCUUCACCUCUGCCUUCCAAAUCUUAUGCAAGUCUCUCUCUUUGUACAACUCUGGCUUGAGACGAUAAAGGAAACCAUACCUAGUUUCUGAUUAAACCAAGCUGACACAGUAAAAUCCAAUUUAUCCAAUUGGUAAAUCUCCUUUACCAAUGAGAAGUAAAAGACAAACUAAAGUAAGGGUUGACUAACAUGAGCAGGGAUGUCUGACUAACAUGAGAUGGGAUGUCAACUUAGAGUCACCUUGCCUUUUCUUACACCUCCUGCAUGCCCAGUGUGUCAGCACAUUUUCUAACACUGUACCAUUAUCUCCACAAUGGCAUGCGCAUGUAUCCCCUCUUCUCCCCAUGGUCAUUAACCCUGUUCAGAUUCUCCUCACCUCUCAUCUUGAAGACUGAGUGUCUUUCGAGUCCUCCACUCACCCUGCUCUCUCUGGCCUCUUCAUCUUUUGUGCUUGAUCUUUCUUCUGCCUGGAAUGCUCUUCCCUCCUUUAUACUUGAGGUCUUAGUUUAAAGAUCACUGUAUUUUGGAAGCAUUUUGGAUCUCUCAAAAAAUCUGAGUUAGAUACCACACUGAUUUGCUUCUCUAUUCUAGUACUUAUUACAUUUUAGGUCUUAUUUAAUUGUCUGUGUUCCUCUCCAUUCCCACCAACUAGGGCCUGACACAUAGGGGUUCAAUAAUUGUCAAGUGAUUGACAGAAUGAAUGAAUGGAUGGAUGAGUGAAAAAGUCUCUCCAUUUCCAGUGUGUAUUCUCUCUAAUAUCUUCUACAUUCUACACUGAAAUUGUCUUUUUGAAAGCCUGGACUUCUUCAGUGGCUUGUCAUUGCCAGUGGAUAAAAUGCAGACUUUUCAUCUGUGCAUUCAAGAACUACCACAUAUAGUCUCAGCCUACCAUUUCUUUUUUUUUUUUUUUUUAGAUGGAGCCUUUCUCUGCUGCCCAGGCUGGAGUGCAGUGGCAUGGUCUCGGUUCACUGCAACCUCUGCCUGUUGGGUGCAAGAGAUUCUCCUGCCUCAGCCUCCUGAGUAGCUGGGAUUACAGGCACCCACCACCACACCCAGCUAAUUUUUGUAUUUUUAGUAGAGAUGGAG
rnacentral:lncRNA from 1 species